rnacentral:rRNA from 1 species
GGCGGACGGGUGAGUAACGCNUAGGAAUCUACCUAAUAGUGGGGGAUAGCCCAGUGGAAACUUGGAUUAAUACCGCAUACAUCCCUACGGGGGAAAGCGGGGGAUCUUCGGACCUCGUGCUAUUAGAUGAGCCUGCGUAAGAUUAGCUAGUUGGUGAGGUAAGAGCUCACCAAGGCGACGAUCUUUAGCUGGUUUUAGAGGAUGAUCAGCAACACUGGGACUGAGACACGGCCCAGACUCCUACGGGAGGCAGCAGUGGGGAAUCUUACACAAUGGGCGCAAGCCUGAUCUAACCAUGCCGCGUGAGUGAUGAAGGCCUUAGGGUCGUAAAGCUCUUUCGCCUGUGAUGAUAAUGACAGUAGCAGGUAAAGAAACCCCGGCUAACUCCGUGCCAGCAGCCGCGGUAAUACUGAGGGGGUUAGCGUUGUUCGGAAUUACUGGGCGUAAAGCGCAC